rnacentral:misc_RNA from 1 species
AAAAGGUACCCGCGAGAGACAGCCAGCAGUUCUGUGGAGCAGCGGUGGCCGGCUAGGAUGGGCUGUCUCUGGGGUCUGGCUCUGCCCCUUUUCUUCUUCUGCUGGGAGGUUGGGGUCUCUGGGAGCUCUGCAGAUUUGAAGAUUGUACCAGGAGAGCCGCAGUGUUCCAGAGCUACUGAGGGGCUGGGCUGGGAUUUGCUGUAUUCGAGAAGACCCCCUUGGACCCGAGAGGCUGUGGGCUUGGGGAGCAUGAGGAGGUUUCACAGCAGAAAGGACACCCCGGGGCUCCUGGAUAAGCCAGAAAAUGUGCCAGGGGAAGUCGGGCUCCAAGGGCACCACUCUGGGCUUCCAGCUGUGUGGGCUGGACCAAGAAGGCUCAAAGAAAUGAUCUCAGGCUUGAAGUGGGGAGAAGAAACUGUAUUAUGAAGGCAGACGAACAGUUCCUGCAAAAGCCCCAGCACCCGCAGAGCAGACACUGCGAUGACAACGGACGACACAGAAGUGCCCGCUAUGACUCUAGCACCGGGCCACGCCGCUCUGGAAACUCAAACGCUGAGCGCUGAGACCUCUUCUAGGGCCUCAACCCCAG